rnacentral:rRNA from 1 species
UACGAAGGGGGCUAGCGUUGCUCGGAAUCACUGGGCGUAAAGCGCACGUAGGCGGCUUUUUAAGUCAGGGGUGAAAUCCUGGAGCUCAACUUCAGAACUGCCUUUGAUACUGAGAGGCUUGAGUCCGGGAGAGGUGAGUGGAACUGCGAGUGUAGAGGUGAAAUUCGUAGAUAUUCGCAAGAACACCAGUGGCGAAGGCGGCUCACUGGCCCGGUACUGACGCUGAGGUGCGAAAGCGUGGGGAGCAAACAGG